UGCCAGCAGCCGCGGUAAUACAGAGGGUGCGAGCGUUAAUCGGAAUUACUGGGCGUAAAGAGCACGUAGGCGGUAAAUUAAGUCAGUUGUGAAAUUCCAGGGCUCAACCUUGGAACUGCAAUUGAGACUGGUUUACUAGAGUCGAAGAGAGGGAAGCGGAAUUUCCGGUGUAGCGGUGAAAUGCGUAGAUAUCGGAAGGAACACCCGUGGCGUAGGCGGCUUCCUGGCUUCAGACUGACGCUGAGGUGCGAAAGCGUGGGUAGCGAACAGGAUUAGAUA
rnacentral:rRNA from 1 species